rnacentral:rRNA from 1 species
GACGAACGCUGGCGGCGUGCUUAACCCAUGCAAGUCGAACGAAGUGGCGAACGGGUGAGUAACGCGUAAUCAACCUGCCCUUCAGAGGGGGACAACAGUUGGAAACGACUGCUAAUACCGCAUACUGACGUCGGGGAUUGCGUCUGAUGAGCUAGUUGGAGGGGUAACGGCACAACAAGGCGAUGAUCAGUAGCCGGUCUGAGAGGAUGAACGGCCAAAUUGGGACUGAGAAAAGGCACAGACUCCUACGGGAGGCAGCAGUGGGGAAGAUUCCGCAAGGGACGAAAGUCUGACGGAGCAACGCCGCGGGAGUGAUGACGGCCUUCGGGUUGUAAAGCUCUGUUAAUCGGGACGCGGUACCGGAAUAGAAAGCCACGGCUAACUACGUGCCAGCAGCCGCGGUAAUAC